rnacentral:rRNA from 1 species
UUUAAUCCUGACGCUCGCCAGAGAAUAACCAAACCCUUUUUAUUAUAUCGUCUGAGUAAUUUAUAAUAGUUAAAACUUUCAACAACGGAUCUCUUGGUUCUGGCAUCGAUGAAGAACGCAGCGAAAUGCGAUAAGUAAUGUGAAUUGCAGAAUUCAGUGAAUCAUCGAAUCUUUGAACGCACAUUGCGCCCCUUGGUAUUCCGGGGGGCAUGCCUGUUCGAGCGUCAUUUCAACCCUCAAGCUCAGCUUGGUAUUGAGGCCAUAUGUCGGCAAUGGCAGUCUCUAAAAUCAGUGGCGGCGCCAUUGGGUCCUGAACGUAGUAAUAUCUCUCGUUACAGGCUCUCAGUGUGCUUCUGCCAAACCCCAAAUUUUUCUAUGGUUGACCUCGGAUCAGGUAGGGAUACCCGCUGAACUUAAGCAUAUCAAUAAGCGGAGGAA